rnacentral:rRNA from 1 species
AGAUUGAACUGAAGAGUUUGAUCCUGGCUCAGAUUGAACGCUGGCGGCAUGCUUUACACAUGCAAGUCGAACGGCAGCGCGGGGCAACCUGGCGGCGAGUGGCGAACGGGUGAGUAAUAUAUCGGAACGUACCCAGAAGUGGGGGAUAACGUAGCGAAAGUUACGCUAAUACCGCAUACGAUCUACGGAUGAAAGUGGGGGACCUUCGGGCCUCAUGCUUGUGGAGCGGCCGAUAUCUGAUUAGCUAGUUGGUAGGGUAAAGGCCUACCAAGGCGACGAUCAGUAGCUGGUCUGAGAGGACGACCAGCCACACUGGGACUGAGACACGGCCCAGACUCCUACGGGAGGCAGCAGUGGGGAAUUUUGGACAAUGGGCGCAAGCCUGAUCCAGCAAUGCCGCGUGAGUGAAGAAGGCCUUCGGGUUGUAAAGCUCUUUUGUCAGGGAAGAAACGGCCGAGGCUAAUACCUUUGGCUAAUGACGGUACCUGAAGAAUAAGCACCGGCUAACUACGUGCCAGCAGCCGCGGUAAUACGUAGGGUGCAAGCGUUAAUCGGAAUUACUGGGCGUAAAGCGUGCGCAGGCGGUUUUGUAAGUCUGACGUGAAAGCCCCGGGCUCAACCUGGGAAUUGCGUUGGAGACUGCAAGGCUUGAAUCUGGCAGAGGGGGGUAGAAUUCCACGUGUAGCAGUGAAAUGCGUAGAGAUGUGGAGGAACACCGAUGGCGAAGGCAGCCCCCUGGGUCAAGAUUGACGCUCAUGCACGAAAGCGUGGGGAGCAAACAGGAGUAGAUACCCUGGUAGUCCACGCCCUAAACGAUGUCUACUAGUUGUCGGGUUUUAAUUAACUUGGUAACGCAGCUAACGCGUGAAGUAGACCGCCUGGGGAGUACGGUCGCAAGAUUAAAACUCAAAGGAAUUGACGGGGACCCGCACAAGCGGUGGAUGAUGUGGAUU